ACUCAAAGGAAUAGACGGGGGCCCGCACAAGCGGUGGAGCAUGUGGUUUAAUUCGAUGCAACGCGAAAAACCUUACCUACUCUUGACAUCCAGAGAACUUUUUAGAGAUAAAAAGGUGCCUUAGGGAACUCUGAGACAGGUGCUGCAUGGCUGUCGUCAGCUCGUGUUGUGAAAUGUUGGGUUAAGUCCCGCAACGAGCGCAACCCUUAUUCUUUGUUGCCAGCGAUUCGGUCGGGAACUCAAAGGAGACUGCCGGUGAUAAACCGGAGGAAGGUGGGGAUGACGUCAAGUCAUCAUGGCCCUUACGAGUAGGGCUACACACGUGCUACAAUGGCAUAUACAAAGAGAAGCUACCUUGUGAGAGCAAGCGGACCUCAUAAAGUAUGUCGUAGUUCGGAUUGGAGUCUGCAACUCGACUCCAUGAAGUCGGAAUCGCUAGUAAUCGUAGAUCAGAAUGCUACGGUGAAUACGUUCCCGGGCCUUGUACACACCGCCCGU
rnacentral:rRNA from 1 species